rnacentral:rRNA from 1 species
UACGAAGGGGGCUAGCGUUGCUCGGAAUCACUGGGCGUAAAGCGCACGUAGGUGGAUUGCUAAGUCAGGGGUGAAAUCCUGGAGCUCAACUCCAGAACUGCCUUUGAUACUGGCGACCUUGAGUCCGGGAGAGGUGAGUGGAACUGCGAGUGUAGAGGUGAAAUUCGUAGAUAUUCGCAAGAACACCAGUGGCGAAGGCGGCUCACUGGCCCGGUACUGACGCUGAGGUGCGAAAGCGUGGGGAGCAAACAGG